ensembl:lncRNA
GACCACAGGUGGAAGAGUUGGCCUUAAGCGAGAGAGAAUCACCUGUCUGAGAUUAGAAGAAGUUGAAUGCGUGUGCUGACAGAGAUAGUGCUGACCUGUGAGUGAAGGAUGAAACCAAAUGAAGUGUUUACUGGUAUUAUCCCUAUUUGAUGGAGAGGAUACCGAGGCUCACAGAGAAUUCAUAACUUGUCCAAGACCGUCUAAUGUCAAGUAAUCAAGAGUGAAUGACCCCGCAGCACAUAUACCAGCUGAGACCAACCUUGGAUUGGGGGAAAACUUCCAGAGGCAGAGCAGCAGCAGAUUCAUUUAUUUAUUGGCUCAUCUGGAUCUUCAUUGCAACAUCCAGGCUCUGCACUGCUGUGUUCGGGCUUCUCUAGCAAGAGCUUCUCGUUGCAGUCGCUUCUUUUAUUGCAGAGCUCCAGCUCCAGUGGUCGUGGUGCUUGGGGCUUAGUUGCUCUGCAGCCCGUGGAAUCCUACUUCCCUGACCAGAGAUCAAACCUGUGUUCCUCCAUUGGCAGGGAGAUUCUCAACGCCUGGACCCCCAGGGAAGUCCCGCCUUGUUCCAACUUCUGGUGGUUGCCAGCAAUCCUUGGAGUGAACUCAUGGCUUAUAGCAGCAUGACUACCUCCAUAUUCACAUGCCUGUCUUCCCCAAGAUGCGUGUCUGUGUGCCUCUGUCGUCUCUUCUUCUAAGAGCGCUAAGCAGUGGACUAUGGCUCACUUAAAUCCAGGACGGCCUCAUCUUAACUAGGUACAUAUGCAAAGGCCGUAUUUUUAAACCAUGCCCCAUAC